rnacentral:lncRNA from 1 species
UCCGAGUCGAUCGAUGCCACCAGAUCUCGGGCAAGCACGGCUAAGAAUCUCUCGGCGCAUGCGUAUGCCUGGCGAGGGUCUCUGAGGGAACUCUUCUCCAGCACUGCUACUGGUUUUGAAUCUCAGAGGCAGCUCAGCUUGAGAUUCCAGAGCAAAGAGAAUUGGUAUAUCUGCCCCCUUAGGAAAUAAGGCGACCAUGCCUCAGCUCUGGAGGUACCCAGUCACGGUAAGAUCAACUGCCUAAACUCAC